CAUACAGCAACAAUGAUGGUUUGCGCCUUGAGAGAAUCUUUAUCCAAAAGGAUAAUGCCACAAUCCAUGCUGACGGCACUUUGUUAGGGCCCAAAACCAAUCUUCAUUUUGCUGUUCUGAAUUUUCCUGUCAGUCUAGUUCCAACUGUGGUUCAGGUGAUUGAAUCUUCAGCUUCUGACACAGUUCAUUCUUUGAGACAACUUUUAGCUCCAAUUCGAGGAAUAUUGCAUAUGGAAGGAGAUCUCAGAGGAAGUAUUGCAAAACCAGAAUGUGAUGUGCAAGUAAGGCUCUUGGAUGGUGCCAUUGGUGGCAUUGAUCUUGGACGAGCUGAAAUUGUUGCUUCUCUAACAUCGACUAGUCGUUUUCUAUUCAAUGCCAAAUUUGAACCAAUCAUCCAAAAUGGCCAUGUACAUAUUCAAGGAAGUGUUCCCAUCAAUUUUGUCCAAAAUAACUCAUUGGAGGAAGAAGACAUAGAAACAGAUAAAACUGGAGCAACUUGGGUCCCUGGUUGGGUGAAGGAAAGGAGUGGAGAUUCCACUGAUGAAGCCAGUGAAAAAAAAAAAUUUCGAGAUAGAAAUGAAGAAGGUUGGAAUACUCAAUUAGCAGAAAGCCUAAAAGUCCUGAAUUGGAAUUUCUUAGAUGUGGGAGAAGUUAGGGUUGAUGCUGAUAUCAAGGAUGGGGGAAUGAUGAUGUUGACAGCUUUAUCUCCUUAUUUCAACUGGCUUCAUGGCAAUGCUGAUGUUAUGCUUCAGGUAAGAGGUACAGUUGAACAACCUGUUCUUGAUGGAUUUGCAUCAUUCCACAGAGCAUCUAUAACUUCACCAGUACUUCGAAAACCACUUACAAAUUUUGGUGGGACAGUACAUGUAAAAUCAAAUAGGCUAUGCAUCACUUCACUGGAAAGCCGGGUCAGCAGAAGAGGAAAGUUAUUUGUAAAAGGCAAUCUACCCCUCAGAACAAGUGAAGCAUCUCUUGGCGAUAAAAUUGACUUAAAAUGUGAAGUCCUGGAAGUACGGGCAAAGAAUAUUUUGAGUGGCCAGGUUGACACUCAGUUACAAUUAACUGGUUCUUUGCUACAACCAAACAUAUCAGGAAAUAUUAAGUUGAGCCAUGGAGAGGCUUAUCUACCAC
rnacentral:misc_RNA from 1 species